rnacentral:rRNA from 1 species
GGCCGGAAUGACCGAUUCACGCGUAACCAGAAGAAGUGAGCAGGAAAGCUCCGCCAGAGAGGGUGACAGUCCCGUAUUCGAAAGUGAGAGUGACGGUUCCGGUACCUGAGUACUGCGAGACACGUGAAAUCUCGUGGGAAUCCGGGAGGACCAUCUCCUAAGGCUAAAUACUAACUGACGACCGAUAGUGUACCAGUACCGUGAGGGAAAGGUGAAAAGAACCCCUGUCAGGGGAGUGAAAGAGAAUCUGAAACCUGGUGCUUACAAGCUGUGGGAGCCGUACUUGUACGGUGACCAUGUGCCUUUUGCAUAAUGAGUCAGCGAGUUAAUCUGUACAGCAAGGUUAAGCGUAAGUGAAGCCGCAGCGAAAGCGAGUCCGAACAGGGCCACAGUUGUGCGGAUUAGACCCGAAACCGGGUGAUCUAUCCAUGAGCAGGUUGAAGCAAGGGUAAAGCCUUGUGGAGGACCGAACCAGUUCUGGCUGAAAACAGUUUGGAUGACUUGUGGAUAGGGGUGAAAGGCCAAUCAAACCCGGUGAUAGCUGGUUCUCCCCGAAAUAUAUUGAGGUAUAGCCUUGCGGAUUGUCUUAUGGAGGUAAAGCUCUGACAGAACUAGGGGUCCUAUCCGACUACCGAAUUCUUUCAAACUCUGAAUACCAUUAAGAUCUACCGCAGGAGUCAGACGGCGGGUGCUAAGGUUCGUCGUCAAAAGGGCAACAGCCCAGACCGACAGCUAAGGCCUCCAAAUGCAUGCUCAGUGGUUAAGGUGGUGGCGUUGUGCAGACACCCAGGACGUUGGCUUAGAAGCAGCCAUCGUUUAAAGAAAGCGUAAUAGCUCACUGGUUCAAUGGCGCUGCGCCGAAAAUGUAACGGGGCUAAGCAUGCUGCCGAAGCUUCGGAUUUGUCUCUGACAACUGGUAGGGGAGCGUUCUCUGCGGGCUGAAGCGGAACCGAAAGGUUUCGUGGACUGCAGAGAAGUGAUUAUGCUGACAUGAGUAACGAUAAAAUAUGUGAAAAACAUAUUCGCCGUAAAUCCAAGGUUUCCUGGGUAAAGGUAAUCUUCCCAGGGUUAGUCGGACCCUAAGGCCAGGCUGAAAGGCGUAGCUGAUGGGAAACGGGUUAAUAAUCCUGUACUUGUGCGAUUGUGCGAAGAAGGGACGCAGGAUGGUAGACAGGCCGGUUUUUGGAAUCCGGUGCAAGUGUGUAGGUAUGCUCCGCAGGCAAAUCCGCGGGGAUGAGCCGAGACACGAGUCCGUGGGCGUAAGCCCUGAAGCUGUUGAGCCACGGCUGCCAAGAAAAGCUUCUAAGUUUAGAUCGCGCGAACCGUACCGCAAACCAACUCAGGUGGAUGGGAUGAAUAAUCCAAGGCGCUCGAGAGAACUCUGGCCAAGGAACUCGGCAAAUUGACCCCGUACCUUCGGAAUAAGGGGUGCUCCCCACGGUGAGACAAAUUCCUGUUCAGCCCCGGGGAGCCGCAGAGAAAUGGUGGUGGCGACUGUUUACUAAAAACAUAGGUCUGUGCGAAGUCCUACAGACGACGUAUACGGACUGACGCCUGCCCGGUGCCGGAAGGUUAAAAGGAGGAGUCAGCGCAAGCGAAGCUCCGAUUUGAAGCCCCGGUAAACGGCGGCCGUAACUAUAACGGUCCUAAGGUAGCGAAAUUCCUUGUCGGGCAAGUUCCGACCUGCACGAAUGGCGUAACGAUCUCCACGCUGUCUCGGCCAGAGACUCGGUGAAAUUGAAGUCGCGGUGAAAAUGCCGUGUACCCGCAGAAAGACGGAAAGACCCUGUGCACCUUUACUAUAGCUUGACAUUGGGUUUUGAACCUGCAUGUGUAGGAUAGGUGGGAGGCUGUGAAAGCUGUACGCCAGUAUGGCCGGAGCCACCCGUGAAAUACCACCCUUGUUUGUUCAGGACCCUAACUCGCAGCUGUAAUCCAGCGCGAAGACAGUGUCUGGUGGGUAGUUUGACUGGGGCGGUCGCCUCCUAAAGAGUAACGGAGGCAUGCAAAGGUUCCCUCAGGCUGAUUGGAAACCAGCCGUUGAGUGCAAGCGCAUAAGGGAGCUUGACUGCAAGAGAGACAUCUCGAACAGAUACGAAAGUAGGUGCUAGUGAUCCGGUGGUCCCGAAUGGAAGGGCCAUCGCUCAUUGGAUAAAAGGUACGCCGGGGAUAACAGGCUGAUCGCAUCCAAGAGUUCACAUCGACGAUGCGGUUUGGCACCUCGAUGUCGGCUCAUCACAUCCUGGGGCUG